rnacentral:rRNA from 1 species
CUACGGGUUGCUCCAGUCGAGAAUCUUCCGCAAUGGGCGCAAGCCUGACGGAGCGAUGCCGCGUGAGGGAUGAAGGCCUUCGGGUUGUAAACCUCUGUCAGAGGGGACGAAAUUUGACGGUACCCUCAGAGGAAGCCACGGCUAACUACGUGCCAGCAGCCGCGGUAAUACGUAGGUGGCGAGCGUUAUUCGGAUUCACUGGGCGUAAAGGGUUCGUAGGGGGUUUGUCAAGUCUGAUGUGAAAUUCCACGGCUCAACCGUGGACGUGCAUUGGAUACUGCCGAACUAGAGUUCCUGAUGGGAAAGCGGAAUUCCAGGUGUAGCGGUGGAAUGCGUAGAUAUCUGGAAGAACACCAGCGGCGAAGGCGGCUUUCUGGCAGGAUACUGACCCUGAGGGACGAAAGCGUGGGUAGCGAACAGGAUUAGAUACCCUCGUAGUC